rnacentral:rRNA from 1 species
AGGGCACCACCAGGAGUGGAGCCUGCGGCUUAAUUUGACUCAACACGGGAAAACUCACCCGGCCCGGGCACUGGAAGGAUUGACAGAUUGAGAGCUCUUUCUUGAUUCAGUGGGUGGUGGUGCAUGGCCGUUCUUAGUUGGUGGAGUGAUUUGUCUGGUUAAUUCCGAUAACGAACGAGACUCUAGCCUACUAAAUAGAUCGUCGGCUUACAAACGCCGACGAGACUUCUUAGAGGGACAGGCGGUGAUUCAACCGCACGAAACAGAGCAAUAACAGGUCUGUGAUGCCCUUAGAUGUCCGGGGCCGCACGCGCGCUACACUGAAGUGAUCAGCGUGCAUUUUCAGCCUACUCUGUCAAGAGUGGGAAACCCAAUGAACCUUCUUCGUGAUUGGGAUAGGGGAUUGUAAUUAUUCCCCUUGAACGAGGAAUUCCCAGUAAGCGCGAGUCAUAAGCUCGCGUUGAUUACGUCCCUGCCCUUUGUACACACCGCCCGUCGCUACUACCGAUUGAAUGUUUU